CAAAAAAGUCCAAUAAAACAGCUCUGUGGAUCAUCAAAACAAGCACAGAUUCCAGAACUCCACUGAGCAUGGUCAUCUGUUUUGCUCUGUUGAAUUUCUUCCGCAGUAGAAACUUGUUGUACUUCUGCAUCCGACUGAUCCAGAGGAAUAUAAGGUGGAGGUGAAUAAUUCUUGUGCCCUACCAUAAUUAGUUAGGUGUAAACACCAACAACUCGAUGUCGCCGGAGAUAGGGAUAUUGCUGAGUAUUUCGCCGAAAGAGAUCGCCGGGCAAUGGACUUCACCGGAG
rnacentral:misc_RNA from 1 species